AAGGACUGGAGACUUUCUCUCUCCCUCUAUUGCGUAUUGAUAAUCUGUACAGCAAACAGCGACUGUCGUUGAGGUGUGAAGAGGUUUAAGACUGUGGUGCGAGGAUGUUCUUCCACGCGCGGUGGUAGUGAGUGGUGGGCACGCGGUUCGGUUGUUACUAAUUAUGGCGGUAUGGUGAGUCGCGUGAAUGGAAAUCGCCUGUAGGUGGGUAGAUAUGGGUGAUUCCAGCAUCAUAAAGUGUGGGGCCGCCUAAAUUAAAGAUGAGAUAAUCCACAGAAAUCUGGACGAGAUUAUAGUGAAAUGAAAGUUUGAAUGCAGUAAUAAAGUGGCGAAAUUUUCUAGGUUACAAUGUCAUUAAAUUACAUGAUGUUAGUUUAUU